UGGGGAAUAUUGGACAAUGGGCGGAAGCCUGAUCCAGCAACGCCGCGUGAGGGAUGACGGCCUUCGGGUUGUAAACCUCUUUCAGCACCGACGAAGCUCCACUUUUUGGUGGUUUGACGGUAGGUGCAGAAGAAGGACCGGCCAACUACGUGCCAGCAGCCGCGGUAAUACGUAGGGUCCGAGCGUUGUCCGGAAUUAUUGGGCGUAAAGGGCUCGUAGGCGGUUUGUCGCGUCGGGAGUGAAAACAUCUGGCUUAACUGGGUGCUUGCUUUCGAUACGGGCAGACUGGAGGUAUGCAGGGGAGAACGGAAUUCCUGGUGUAGCGGUGAAAUGCGCAGAUAUCAGGAGGAACACCGGUGGCGAAGGCGGUUCUCUGGGCAUUACCUGACGCUGAGGAGCGAAAGUGUGGGGAGCGAACA
rnacentral:rRNA from 1 species